UGGAAGGUUUUUAAUACACUC
rnacentral:piRNA from 1 species